rnacentral:rRNA from 1 species
GCCUACGGGGGGCCGCAGUUAUUAAUCUUUUUCCCUUUUCUUCCGCCUUAACCAGCCAAGUCGCGUGAGGGAAGACUGCCCUAUGGGUUGUAAACCUCUUUUGUCAGGGAGCAACGCCGGCUACGUGUAGCCGGACUGAGAGUACCUGAAGAAAAAGCAUCGGCUAACUCCGUGCCAGCAGCCGCGGUAAUACGGAGGAUGCGAGCGUUAUCCGGAUUUAUUGGGUUUAAAGGGUGCGUAGGCGGAUUGAUAAGUUAGAGGUGAAAUGUCCGGGCUCAACUCGGGAACUGCCUCUAAUACUGUUG